AUUGAACGCUGGCGGCAGGCCUAACACAUGCAAGUCGAGCGGAUGAAGGGAGCUUGCUCCUUGAUUCAGCGGCGGACGGGUGAGUAAUGCCUAGGAAUCUGCCAGGUAGUGGGGGAUUACGUCCGGAAACGGGCGCUAAUACCGCAUACGUCCUGAGGGAGAAAGUGGGGGAUCUUCGGACCUCACGCUAUCAGAUGAGCCUAGGUCGGAUUAGCUAGUUGGUGGGGUAAAGGCCUACCAAGGCGACGAUCCGUAACUGGUCUGAGAGGAUGAUCAGUCACACUGGAACUGAGACACGGUCCAGACUCCUACGGGAGGCAGCAGUGGGGAAUAUUGGACAAUGGGCGAAAGCCUGAUCCAGCCAUGCCGCGUGUGUGAAGAAGGUCUUCGGAUUGUAAAGCACUUUAAGUUGGGAGGAAGGGCAGUAAGUUAAUACCUUGCUGUUUUGACGUUACCAACAGAAUAAGCACCGGCUAACUUCGUG
rnacentral:rRNA from 1 species